rnacentral:rRNA from 1 species
GAUGAACGCUGGCGGCGUGCCUAAUACAUGCAAGUCGAGCGAACAGACGAGGAGCUUGCUCCUCUGACGUUAGGGGCGGACGGGAGAGUAACACGUGGAUAACCUACCUAUAAGACGGGGAUAACUUCGGGAAACCGGCGAUAAUCCCGGAUAAUAUAUUGAACCGCAGGGGGCAAUGGUGAAAGACGGCUUUGCUGUCACUAAUCGAUGGAUCCGCGCCGCAUUAGCUAGUUGGUAAGGUAACGGCUUACCAAGGCAACGAUGCGUAGCCGACCUGAGAGGCUGAUCGGCCACACGGGAGCUGAGACACGGUCCAGGCUCCUACGAGAGGCAGCAGUAGGCAAUCUUCCGCAGUGGGCGAAAGCCUGGCGGAGCAACGCCGCGUGAGUUAUGAAGGUCUUCGGAUCGUAAAGCUCUGUUAUUAGGGAAGAACAAAUGUGUAAGGAACUAUGCACGUAUUGACGGUACCUAAUCAGAAAGCCACGGCUAACUACGUG